rnacentral:tRNA from 1 species
GCCGGGGUGGCCGAGCGGACAAGGCGCAGGCCUUGAGAGCCUGUGGCCCCUCGAGGGCCGCAUGGGUUCGAAUCCCAUCCCCGGCGCCA